rnacentral:misc_RNA from 1 species
UUUUUUCCGACUUGACUAUUUCCUCUACGGAAAAAGGAAAAUUUUAUGCAAAAUUCAUCGAAAGAAAAAUGCAUCGAGGUAGAAUGGUAAAACUUUUGAUUAUAUGGAAUCUCUAAAUGAUAAUAUAUUUUAUUAUUCAAGUUCUUUAUCCGUUCUGUAGUGCUAUAUGUAAAUAAUUUCACGUGGGACGAACGUCGCCCCUUCCAUUCGAGGAAAAAUCCCUUAUUCGGACGAUGAUCAUUUUGAAGAAACCAAAACUUUGGAUACUUAAUUAUUCAUAAUGAUCUUUUUUUGAACCUUAAUUAAUUUGAAGAUUGUUUUAACAUAUAGCAUCGAUUUUAGGAAUCAUAAGAUCCAUGAUUUCCUAACUAGUUAGGGAAAAGAGGACGGACGUGCAUGUACGGUUUGUUUACAUGUAUAUGAUGGUUGUUUUACCGUUUUCUUUUUUUCAGAUUUUAUUGUAAAGAAAUAGUAUGAAAAGGCGUUAAUAGGCUCAUCACAUUUUCCCCAAAAAAUUUGUGGCAAACAAUGAACCCGGACAGUUUAGAAGGUGAGACUUUUUAUUUAAAUAUUGAAUUCAGUGAAUCAGAAAGAACCUACUUUUUGUGUUUAUUAUAUAUCUGUAUCAAACCAACAUUUUUUGCAUGGAAGGAAAUUUCACAAGGUUCACAAGAGUCUUAAAGUUGUUCUACUCAGUGUAUAUUAAUACAGAGCUCCCAGCAGCAUACCUAUUCCCAUGGAUUUACCUCAAGGUUUCUUCGAUGUUGUCUGUAGCGGCUUCCCAGUAAGAGAAAUACUUUUUCUUGUACAUCCAGUGAGGCCUAACCGAUCUACACUACAAUGUCUUGAAUACUUCUCAAUGUAAACCUGUCCAUAUCAUAUUGGUGUAAAUACGGGUGAAAAGUGCAAGUGAAAGUUCUGCGAGUGCAAUCUGAGCACAUGGUGAAUGCACAGAAAAAUGGGAAAGUUGAACUUUCAGGGACUGUACUUGCAGUCUGUGGUGAAUGUUCAUGACUUAUCAUUUUGAAAACUGUAGGUUCAUUAUAUUAUACAAGUACUUAAUUCCACAAUUCAAUUGUUUUGCAUUAAAUCAUGAUAAUAUAAAUUUUUAUCAUAGUUUCAUUAAGAUUUGUAUGGUAUAUGUAUGCAAAAAAAGCCCCCAGAUAUUUAAAAACCUGCAAGAUAUUCUUCUUGCCAUUUUAUGGGAUAUUAAUUCCUACAAAUGUAGCGCUAUAAAAAGAAAUCUACGGACACAGACAAGCUGAAUGGGGCCAGAUUAACUCAUUGUAUACAUUUACAUGUAUCUUACUACAAUAUUUCUGUUUGUAUUUCUAACUUAAAAAAGGAAUUUUGAAUUUGUCAUCGCAAAAAUUCUCUCCCUUAUGUCAGGCUCUGAAGAAGGGAAGAAGCGAGAUUUACUGGGAAAGAAACGCGACUCCAAGAAAGGGCAGAAGGAUCAGGGGUACGUCAAGUUCGACGAAGAGGACUCGGACACAUCUCAGCUCACCUUAGAUGAAGUCAAGUGAGUUAACUCUAUCUCAGUUAUAUCUCAGCUGAUCUUAAAGCUAAACACGACUUGUAAAAGGCAUUGUCCGCCAUAUUUCUCGUCUUUACUGAGCUUGAUCAUUAUCAAAGCAUAAAAUUCCAGAAAACGACUGAAAUUUUAUAACUUUAAAAUGUCAUAGCUUUUGUUCCAAUAAUGCUAUCCUCGUGAAAUUUAAAGUGUUGUUAAGCAUUUGAAUAAAUGAUAUCUUUCAAAUAGCAUAAUGUUUGUUUGCCAGCAAAAGAAAUGGCUUAAUUGGGUUGCUAAUAUAAGCUGCCGACCGCCAAACAGGUCAAAGUAUUUCACUCUUUAUUUGUAUUUUAGAAAUCUCAAUCUACCGUGAAAAACAUCAAGUCAGUUUACCUACCCAAUGUUUUCUUACGAAGAAAUAAAAGAAGAUAAAAGAAAUACUGUAUACAGGGAAAUAUUCGCCCCCGUUUUAUUUUCGCCCCCGUUUUAUUUUGGCCCCCGUUUUAUUUUGGCCCUUCGCCCUCAUUGUCAGUGGGCAGAUUUAAGACUGGGCGAAUUCCGAUGUCUUCAAUUAUUUCUCUAUAAACAAAACUGCGUCUGGGCGAAUUCAAUAAGGGGCAAAACUGCUUGCAAUUGUAUAAGAGCAAAAAUGACACGAGGUGAAAAGAACCCUGAUACAGAACCUAAUUAACAUUACUUGACAACCAAGUUAAUCAUUGAUUUAAUGAGUUUUUGGUGAAUGACCUAGUAUAUUUAAUGUACACACUUUAUAAACUCAUUUUGUUUUAUUUCUGUUGUGGUCUUAUUUUGAGUUGUUUCACUGUUUUACAGGAGUCCCUCUAAGGUGAAGAAAACCAAGUCGUUUUUCAAAAAGCAGAAACCAAAGGAAGAAAAGAAGGACAAAGAUGGAAAGAAAGAUGAAAAGGAAAAAGAAAAGGAAGUGAAGAAAGAAGAGAAAGAUGGAAAGAAACACAAAAC